GGGGAAUAUUGCGCAAUGGGGGAAACCCUGACGCAGCGACGCCGCGUGAAGGAAGAAGGCUUUCGGGUUGUAAACUUCUUUGAUCGGGGACGAAGAUGACGGUACCCGAGGAACAAGCCACGGCUAACUACGUGCCAGCAGCCGCGGUAAUACGUAGGUGGCGAGCGUUGUCCGGAAUUACUGGGUGUAAAGGGCGUGUAGGCGGGGCGGCAAGUCAGAUGUGAAAUACCUCGGCUUAACUGGGGUGCUGCAACUGAAACUGUCGUUCUUGAGUGUCGGAGAGGAAAGUGGAAUUCCCAGUGUAGCGGUGAAAUGCGUAGAGAUUGGGAGGAACACCAGUGGCGAAGGCGGCUUUCUGGACGAUAACUGACGCUGAGGCGCGAAAGCGUGGGUAGCAAAC
rnacentral:rRNA from 1 species